UACGGGGGGGGGCAAGCGUUGUUCGGAAUUACUGGGCGUAAAGGGCUCGUAGGCGGCCAACUAAGUCAUACGUGAAAUCCCUCGGCUUAACCGGGGAACUGCGUCUGAUACUGGAUGGCUUGAGAUUGGGAGAGGGAUGCGGAAUUCCAGGUGUAGCGGUGAAAUGCGUAGAUAUCGGGAGGAACACCAAUGGCGAAGGCAGCUUGCUGGGACGGUACUGACGCUGAGGCGCGAAAGCGUGGGGAGCAAACAGG
rnacentral:rRNA from 1 species